rnacentral:tRNA from 2 species
GCAUUCUUAGCUCAGUUGGAUAGAGCAACAACCUUCUAAGUUGAAGGUCACAGGUUCGAGUCCUGUAGGAUGCA